UCUCUGUUCGUAUAUCGGUUAGUACACGCGCCUGUCAUUUCACUUGAUCGCGCGAAAGCUGGGUUCGAUUCCCAGACAGAGAG